UACGAAGGGGGCUAGCGUUGCUCGGAAUCACUGGGCGUAAAGGGUGCGUAGGCGGGUCUUUUAAGUCAGGGGUGAAAUCCUGGAGCUCAACUCCAGAACUGCCUUUGAUACUGAGGAUCUUGAGUUCGGGAGAGGUGAGUGGAACUGCGAGUGUAGAGGUGAAAUUCGUAGAUAUUCGCAAGAACACCAGUGGCGAAGGCG
rnacentral:rRNA from 1 species